rnacentral:rRNA from 1 species
UGGACAAUGGGGGCAACGCUGAUCCAGCGAUGCCGCGUGAGUGAAGAAGGCCCUAGGGUUGUAAAGCUCUUUCAAUCGUGAAGAUAAUGACGGUAGCGAUAUAAGAAGCUCCGGCUAACUCCGUGCCAUCAGCCGCGGUAAUACGGGGGGAGCGAGCGUUGUUCGGAAUCACUGGGCGUAAAGCGUGCUUAGGCGGAUUGGCAAUUCAGAAUGUGAAAUCCCGGGGCUCAACCCCGGAACUGCUUUUGAAACUGUCUUUCUAGAAUGUGAUAGAGGUUGGGAGAAUUCCUAGUGUAGAGGUGAAAUUCGUAGAUAUUAGGAGGAAUACCAGUGGCGUAGGCGCCCAACUGGAUCAUUAUUGACGCUCAGGCACGAAAGCGUGGGGAGCAAACAGGAUUAGAUACCCUGGUAGUCCACGCCCUAAACGAUGUGUGCUAGUUGUUGGAUGUUCAGCAUUCAGUGACGCAGCUAACGCGUUAAGCACACCGCCUGGGGAGUACGGCCGCAAGGUUAAAACUCAAAGAAAUUGACGGGGACCCGCACAAGCGGUGGAGCAUGUGGUUUAAUUCGAAGCAACGCGAAGAACCUUACCAACCCUUGACAUCCUGGUCGCGGAUUAGAGAGAUCUUUUCCUUCAGUUCGGCUGGACCAGUGACAGGUGCUGCACGGCUGUCGUCAGCUCGUGUCGUGAGAUGUUCGGUUAAGUCCGGCAACGAGCGCAACCCCUAUUUCCAGUUACCAUCAUUUAGUUGGGUACUCUGGCAAAACUGCCCGUGACAAGCGGGAGGAAGGUGGGGACGACGUCAAGUCAUCAUGGCCCUUACGGGUUGGGCUACACACGUGCUACAAUGGCGGUGACAAUGGGCAGCAAGCUCGCGAGGGCAAGCAAAUCCCUAAAAACCGUCUCAGUUCGGAUUGCACUCUGCAACUCGAGUGCAUGAAGCUGGAAUCGCUAGUAAUCGUGGAUCAGCAUGCCGCGGCGAAUACGUUCCCGGGUCUUGUACACACCGCCCGUCAAGCAAUGGGAGUUGGUUCUACCCGAAGAUGGUGCGAAACCUUUUAGGAGCAGCCAGCCACG